rnacentral:rRNA from 1 species
AUACGGAGGGUCCGAGCGUUAAUCGGAAUUACUGGGCGUAAAGCGCGCGUAGGCGGAUAUUUAAGUCAGAUGUGAAAUCCCUGGGCUCAACCUAGGAACUGCAUUUGAAACUGGAUAUCUAGAGUAUGGUAGAGGUGAGUGGAAUUUCAGGUGUAGCGGUGAAAUGCGUAGAGAUCUGAAGGAACAUCAGUGGCGAAGGCGACUCACUGGGUCAUUACUGACGCUGAGGUGCGAAAGCGUGGGUAGCAAACAGGAUUAGAAACCCUAGUAGUCC